UCUCGAUCUGCUUCAUCUCUCAAAGGACGCCCCAGCCCCGAGAGGAGCCACCGCCGCCGCCGCCGGGGAACGAGAGGAGCCGCCGCCUCCAGGUCACCACUGCCCUCGCCCUCGCAUCCAUACCUUCGCCGUCGCCCUCGCGCUCGCGGAUCCCUGAAAUGCCGCCGAUCCGAGACGAGCCGCCGCCGCCGAGGAACGAGACGAGCUGCCGGCGCCGAGGAACGAGACGAGCUAGGGUUCCAUACGCCGCCGCCGGUAUCUCGCCCCCUCACCAUGUAUGCAUCUCUCCUUUCCAUCCCCAUCUGAGACCGAAACCUACUCACGCCUCUCCUUGUUCGCCCACGCCAUUGCGGCCCCAACCACGAACGCCGACGCCGGCUGUAGCCGUCACGCCGCCAGCCAUCCAUGCCUCGUAGCCGUCGCAGCCGGUGCUUCCCCACCGAACGAGCGCCAAGGAGAAACACCGCUGUCUUUCUACAUGGUGGCCUCUCCCCUCGAUCCCCUCCAUCGCCUCCGCCGCCGCCGAGGUACGAGGUCGCCUCCAUCUUGUUCCUUCCCUGGCCACGCCCCUCCCAAUUUCUUCCCCUCAUCCAGCUAGGGUUCUCACCCGCCGCCGCUUCCCUGCUGCUACCCGCCACCGGAUGCCCUCCACGGACACCACCACCAUGAUGGCGGAAUGAAGAGCAAGAGGGGUCAUCGAGGAUGGGUGCCGUCGUGAGGUUGCUGGUGCCCGUGUGCGGUGAUGGCAUUGUGGCGGAAGAAGGUCUUCUUCCUGGGGAGCCGCUACCAGCCUCCGUCUCCACCCGCGGCCACACUAAAAAGACAGAUCUCAAUACUUGCUUGCUAAUGUGCAUGUGUGGAUGUUGCUGGUUGCUGCUGCUGUGCACGUCUGCUUGGUGUGCCCCUGCUGUUUUGUGUUCUCACCACCACAUCCACGACAAAUAAAAUUUCUUAGUUUUCUUAGAAUGGUUCAGGUUCGAUAUGCUAGGGCUGAAGUACGCUCCUGAGUUAAAGAAAGACCUCGAGAGACUCUGUAGUGUGUAUGCAGGAACUAAAGACAUGUAUUAGAGAAUGAAGCAUCAAUCCUCUUCUUGCUUAUUGUUUGUCAAAUGCUAUAUUAAAGCACUGUAUCAAUUCCAUUGUUAUUUACACGAAGGGACGGAUUAGGACCUGUGGGAUCAUGGCUCUUUCAGCUUGAACAGUAUUUGUGAUGUAUCCUUCACUUACCGUGCCACGGGGUUAUCACGGAUAUUGGUGGAGGACUUGGUGGACUAGCGCAAAAUGGAAAUCUAGAAAGAAGUGAAACUAAUCAGCUAUGGUUCUCCUGGAGUAUUUGUGCAACCAGCAGGCCGCCCAUGAGAAAUAUGAUGUUCUUUAUGCAUUUAAAAAACUACUAAAGGGAAAGUUGUGAAUGUUGUAUUGCAGAGCGUAUGCGUCAGAGGCCAGUCGGCAGAGGUGCAUGCAGGUUUGUGCUUGAGGGUGCACGCGAGCCGGCGGCUACAGGCAGAGGGUGCGGCCUGUGUGUGCGUGUUGUGGUCGCCUGAUUUGAUUGUAAAUCGUGUAGAGCAAAGGCGGCUUCUGUGGCGCUGGAGCAACAAUUUCAGUGAGCACAUGGACUUGAUGCAGGGAGGGUCGUCGAAGAGAAGGACGGCGGCCCGGCCUACACAUGAUGGAACACACAUUGCCGACGAUGCGGUACCAGGCCUGGAGAAGAGAUCCCGAGUUUCCAUUCUUCUGCAACGACAGGGAGUAUGUUAUCGGCCGCGGGGUCUAGGCAUCUAGAAAGACGUACUACUGCGCUAAUAAGGUGUUUGAUGAAAUGCCCUCCGUCCGGAAAUACUUGUCAUCAAAAUGAAUAAAAGGAGAUCACAAUGUUGGACACGACCACCUAAGAACGGAAUAUUUUUAGUUGGAAUACUAUUUUAAUGAUCAAUCACAAUGUUGGACGCGACCACCUACUUAUUCCCGAGACUUUAAGUCUUUGGUGGCUUAAGCACAAUAUGCCCGGCAUAUGUUCUACAUCUGCGGCAUGUAAUGACCCUACUGGCAUUUCAAGAGGUCUGUAAAUACAACACUCUUCCAAAGUAUUUCCAAAUCUGGACAGUUAUUGAGCCUGCAUUGAUGAAAUAGUUGACAAAGAAGGAACUGAAAUGAGGUUAUUGAGGCUGCAUUUAAGAAUCUUGGUUGAUGAGCUGAUAUCUGACCAAAAGCUCAAGAACUAGAAGCAAGCCUGACAUCCUUUUUCUGUAAUCGGUAUAUUCUCGGUAGCAAGCCUGUCAUCCUUUUGUAUCCACAUGAGGCUUAGGGGCCGUUUGGAUUAGCACCAACGCCGACCCUAUCAAUUUUUAGGUGGUCCCCUGCAAUUUGGACCCUGUUUGGACCAUCGCCAAAAUAUUGGCUCGCCCUGGCUCGCCCCGAAGGCUCAGUGUUACUUCUGCCAACUCGUGGGCGCAUCGAGGGCGCCGAAAUCGGUCGCCAAAAAAUUGAUUAUUGAAGGUUGUUUCUGAAGUUGUGAUUGACUGGAACCAAAGGAAAGUUGGGGACUUUUUUGGUGUGAAUUGCUUGGAUUAAGUGGGAGUGAAGAUGUUCUUUCUGUCUAUAUCUGGUUCUAUUAUUGGCAAAUUUGUGCCUUCGAGAUUGCUGCGGGUGUUUGUGUUCUCGAGCUGAAAAUUUAGAUUAUUACCAUGUUUGGUCUCCUGAAUAUAAAUCAUGAUUCUUUUCAUCUCAAUUGCAGACCAACAGACCUUUCCGUCCUCAUAUUCCCCGGAUUCGUUUUCUGCGAUCGAGCGCCCGAGCGGUUGCAUCUCGACGGCAGUUCCCUUUACAACCGAGUUAGCUUUAUACUAUGAGCAGUGAGCAAGUCAUGUAUAAAGCAAAAACAAAAUAUUGGUCUGCUAUCAAAUGGUACAUUUAUUUGAACUCUAAAGGCAGGUUCAGGGUCUCAUGAAGAGGGCAUGUGUUUGUAUUAGAUCAGAAGGUUUUGCAGUUGAAAAGCUUAUAGGUUUGAGCACCCCAAACAACGGGGUGGGCCCUUUGACCUGUGGUGGGUUCUGCUGGUACCAAGAGAAGGAGGUUCCUUUUAACCUGCAGGAGCUCUGCCAAUGGCAGCGUGCUUUCCUUGACAAUGAUGUGGUACUGCACGUACGCAACAUGCAGCGAGUGAAAUCGGCGUAAGAGGGCAUCUUGCAAGCAGCACCAAAUCCUAUAUUAUGGGACCGAGUGAGUAUCUCAAAGAAGAAAUAAUUUUUUUGAUGUAGGAAUAUCUGUAGGCUGAUUAUGCUUUGAUGUAUAGAUCGCAGUAGCACUUAGGUAAAAUAUAAGUUCUUAGCUAGUUUAAUAGUACUUUUGUCGAACAAAGCUCAAUUGACAUUACGCUAAAACCUUGAGAAUACCUGAGGGGACAAGGCAAGUGUUGUUUGUAAUGACUUGUGUUAUGAUAUUGCAAAAUAGAUUAGACGGAAAAGUACAUAGCAUUGCCAUGGAAUAUUUAAUACUUUUAGAUCUGCCUGUUCA